rnacentral:misc_RNA from 1 species
AGCCCGCGUGCAAUUCCACCAAUGAUGUGGAAGCGCAUAUGCCAAUCAAGUAAUUUCCUCCUUGUUUGCUCAAAAAUAAAGGAAUCCAAGCUUUUGUUGGGCAUGUAUUCAUAGAUUAACAUUUUUUCAUCUCCUUGAAUGCAGCAACCAAGAAGCUUCACAAGAUUUCUGUGCUGAAGCUUUGCAAUCAAUAUAACUUCAUUUUUGAAUUCCUUUCCUCCUUGUCCAGAUGUUUCUGAAAGCCGUUUCACUGCUAUUUCUUGCCCGUCCAACAAUAUACCCUUGUAUACAGGUCCAAAACCACCUUCUCCUAGUUUAUUGUUGUUUGAAAAGUUAUCAGUAGCAUUUUUUAUAGUGGUUAAAUCAAUGGAAGGUAAUUCAAUGUCUUCCUCUCCACCAUCAUCACCACAAUCUUCUAGAUCAGUCUGUUUUGCAAUUCCUUGCUGCAAAAGUUUUCGCUUUCUAAUGCACAAGAGAAAUCCUAAUGCUAGCGAUCCCACAAACACAGUGAGACAGCUGACAACAAUUGCAACUUUUCUCUUCU